rnacentral:rRNA from 1 species
GAUGAACGCUGGCGGCGUGCCUAAUACAUGCAAGUCGAGCGAACAGACGAGGAGCUUGCUCCUCUGACGUUAGUGGCGGACGGGUGAGUAACACGUGGAUAACCUACCUAUAAGACUGGGAUAACUUCGGGAAACCGGAGCUAAUACCGGAUAAUAUAUUGAACCGCAUGGUUCAAUAGUGAAAGACGGUUUUGCUGUCACUUAUAGAUGGAUCCGCGCCGCAUUAGCUAGUUGGUAAGGUAACGGCUUACCAAGGCGACGAUGCGUAGCCGACCUGAGAGGGUGAUCGGCCACACUGGAACUGAGACACGGUCCAGACUCCUACGGGAGGCAGCAGUAGGGAAUCUUCCGCAAUGGGCGAAAGCCUGACGGAGCAACGCCGCGUGAGUGAUGAAGGUCUUCGGAUCGUAAAACUCUGUUAUUAGGGAAGAACAAAUGUGUAAGUAACUAUGCACGUCUUGACGGCACCUAAUCAGAAAGCCACGGCUAACUACGUG